rnacentral:rRNA from 1 species
UACGUAGGGUGCAAGCGUUGUCCGGAUUUAUUGGGCGUAAAGAGCUCGUAGGCGGUUUGUCGCGUCGGAUGUGAAAACCCAGGGCUCAACCCUGGGCCUGCAUUCGAUACGGGCAGACUAGAGUAUGGCAGGGGAGACUGGAAUUCCUGGUGUAGCGGUGAAAUGCGCAGAUAUCAGGAGGAACACCGGUGGCGAAGGCGGUUCUCUGGGCAUUACCUGACGCUGAGGAGCGAAAGUGUGGGGAGCGAACAGG